rnacentral:lncRNA from 1 species
AUUUUGAAUUAGGUAUUUCUUCAUGCAUAUAAAAUAUGAGUUUUCAAUAACAAUGUCACAAUGUAUUAUUGUUGUGCAUUACCUCAACACUGUACUUCCAUAAUGACUUUAGAGAUGAGUUUCCAAUUCUAAGUGAUAUAAAUUAAGGUCUAAUUGUAUCAGAGUUAUAUUUAUUGUGAAAUUUGAUUAGGCAUCUCAUCUCUGAAGUGGUACAGUACUCCCUUACCAGUCUGCCAUGAUUUAUUCGUUUUCAAUAAAAGAUACCAAUACAAAGGAUAGGACAACCUGUGGACUAACGGGCUAAUUCUCUAGUUUGAACUCAUCCUGUGGUGGCGCUCAGCUUUAACAUGGUGCUAAUGAGAAAGCCAGUCUGAAGGACUGAUUGCACUUACCACUGAGGAGAUGUGGCUCUGGGGUCAUGGUUCCUUCUUGCUGGAAAGAGGACUAUAUGAAUGGGGACAUUAGGGUUACUCGCAGCUACUGUGUACGCCUGCAGUGGCCUGCAACCCAGCUAAGAACAGCUGUUUCUGUAGGGGUUGAAAUGCACCAGCAAAGUUCAUCCCUUCUGCUUCUGUCUCACAUUUCAAGUACCAUCUCUACCCCUGAAAUCUGUAUGGCACCACUCAAGCCUGAAAACCUGGGCUUUCUUGUGCACCAGUCUCCAUCUGCAAUCACUGUCGCAGCACAGGAUGAUGCUGCGGAGGGACAAACUCAGAGACCCUUCACAUUUUCCCAGUGUAAGUCAGGUUUUCUAUACAGCACAGUGUUGUGCUGUGCACAGCUAUUGACUUGGGCCUGAGGUCAAAAUAGUCGAAUUCAAGCUUUGGUGAGUUAAUGUAAUUCUUCCUUCUCACACAGCAUGGGUGUGCUGCUGUCCCAAUACAGCCAUCCCACUGUGGGUUUGGGACCUAAU